rnacentral:ncRNA from 1 species
GCAAACGGGGGGCUGGCGCACGCCGGCUGAGAUAUGGCCCAGCGCGGCCAUGACCCGUGGGUGGCGUGGCCACCCACAACCUGAUCUGGGUAAUGCCAGCGUAGGGACCUUGGCACGCGCGCCG